CCUACGGGAGGCAGCAGUGAGGAAUAUUGGUCAAUGGACGAGAGUCUGAACCAGCCAAGUAGCGUGAAGGAUGAAUGCCCUAUGGGUUGUAAACUUCUUUUAUAUGGGAAUAAAAUGUUCCACGUGUGGGUUUUUGUAUGUACCCUAUGAAUAAGGAUCGGCUAACUCCGUGCCAGCAGCCGCGGUAAUACGGAGGAUCCGAGCGUUAUCCGGAUUUAUUGGGUUUAAAGGGAGCGUAGGUGGAUUGUUAAGUCAGUUGUGAAAGUUUGCGGCUCAACCGUAAAAUUGCAGUUGAAACUGGCAGUCUUGAGUGCAGUAGAGGUAGGCGGAAUUCGUGGUGUAGCGGUGAAAUGCUUAGAUAUCACGAAGAACUCCGAUUGCGAAGGCAGCUCACUAGACUGCAACUGACACUGAGGCUCGAAAGUGUGGGUAUCAAACAGGAUUAGAUACCCUUGUAGUC
rnacentral:rRNA from 1 species